CCUACGGGAGGCAGCAGUGAGGAAUAUUGGACAAUGGACGAGAGUCUGAACCAGCCACGCAGCGUGCAGGAUGAAUGCCCUCUGGGUUGUAAACUUCUUUUAUAUGGGAAUAAAUUGUUCCACGUGUGGGAUUUUGUAUGUACAAUAUGAAUAAGGAUCGGCUAACUCCGUGCCAGCCGCCGCGGUAAUACGGAGGAUCCGAGCGUUAUCCGGAUUUAUUGGGUUUAAAGGGAGAGUAGGGGGAUUGUUAAGUCAGGUGUGAAAGUUGGCGGCUCAACCGUAAAACUGCAGUUGAAACUGGCAGGCUUGAGUACAGUAGAGGUGGGCGGAAUUCGUGGUGUAGCGGUGAAAUGCGUAGAUAUCACGAAGAACACCGAUGGCGAAGGCAGCUCACUGGACUGCAACUGACACUGAGGCUCGAAAGUGUGGGGAGCAAACAGGAUUAGAUACCCGAGUAGUC
rnacentral:rRNA from 1 species